AAUAAGGACAUAAAAUGGGGACUUUUAUAUGAAGUUGACUUGACUGACACCUCACCGCUUUUAUGAGAUUAUGUCUCAUGCGGAAAAUUGCUCGUGGACGAUGAUCAUGCACGUUCCUUUCCCUUCUUCUACAAGAAAAAUGAAACAAACGACUCUUAGUAUUUCCUUUACAAACAUUUCAAGAUAUAUGUUUUUCAUCAUCUACACAAUCUAAUUUGCACAAACAUACUGGAAUACUU
rnacentral:lncRNA from 1 species